ACAAGCGGUGGAGCAUGUGGUUAAUUCGAAGCAACGCGAAGAACCUUACCAGGUCUUGACAUCCCUGACAACCCGAGAGAUCGGGCGUUCCCCUUCGGGGGACAGGGUGACAGGUGGUGCAUGGUUGUCGUCAGCUCGUGUCGUGAGAUGUUGGGUUAAGUCCCGCAACGAGCGCAACCCUCGCCUCUAGUUGCCAGCAUUCGGUUGGGCACUCUAGAGGGACUGCCGGCGACAAGUCGGAGGAAGUGGGAUGACGUCAAAUCAUCAUGCCCCUUAUGACCUGGGCUACACACGUGCUACAAUGGGCGGUACAAAGGGCUGCGAACCCGCGAGGGGGAGCGAAUCCCAAAAAGCCGCUCUCAGUUCGGAUUGCAGGCUGCAACUCGCCUGCAUGAAGCCGGAAUCGCUAGUAAUCGCGGAUCAGCAUGCCGCGGUGAAUACGUUCCCGGGCCUU
rnacentral:rRNA from 1 species